rnacentral:rRNA from 1 species
GUGUCAGCAGCCGCGGUAAUACAGAGGGUGCAAGCGUUGUUCGGAAUUACUGGGCGUAAAGCGUGCGUAGUCGGUAUUGAGAGUCGCGGGUGAAAUCCCAGGGCUUAACCCUGGAACUGCCUGCGAGACCUCAGUACUAGAGUGUGAGAGGGGAUAGUGGAAUACCCAGUGUAGCGGUGAAAUGCGUAGAGAUUGGGUGGAACACCGGUGGCGAAGGCGGCUAUCUGGCUCACAACUGACGAUCAGGCACGAAAGCGUGGGGAGCAAACAGGAUUAGAUACCCUGGUAGUCC